UGGCUCACUUGAGCAUUUGGCAUGUUCUAGAAGAGGAAAGCAUUUCAAAAAGUCAGCCAAAAGAGAAUGGAAAGUGAGGGAAUCUUGGAUGUGCCAUAGUGACCAACUCAGCAGCACAAACCUGUACUCAAAUAUUAAAAAAUUGUAAUGGGAAUUAGGAACACUGAAUAUGUGAUCAUGAUAUGCUGGAAUUGUCCUGAAGAAACAAGAGGAAAAGCCAAGCUAGAGGAACAUGACCUGGGUCAGGAGGUAUCAUGUAAGAGUCCUGACCCUAGGAAACCACUGGGAACAGUUGGAAGAGCACGUGGAGAGAGCAUUUGUAAGAGCGUCACUAGAGAACUUGCUUCCCCUUCUCCAUCAUGUGAGAACAGAGAGAAGUCUGCAGUCUGCAGCCUGGAAGAGGGUUCUCACUGGAACCCUACCCUGCUGGCAUCCUCAUCUCAGGCUCAGCCUUUUGAACUGUGAGAAAUAAAUUUAUAAAUUUGUAACAUUGUU